GGCAGUUCAGCUGCGCAUACAUUAAAUUUGGAAUGAUCUAGAGAAGAUUUACAUGGACCCUGCACAAGGAUGACCCACAAAUUUGUAAAGCAUUCCAUAUUUAG